UACGAAGGGGGCUAGCGUUGCUCGGAAUCACUGGGCGUAAAGCGCACGUAGGCGGACUCUUAAGUCGGUGGUGAAAUCCUGGAGCUCAACUCCAGAACUGCCUUCGAUACUGAGAGUCUCGAGUCCGGGAGAGGUGAGUGGAACUGCGAGUGUAGAGGUGAAAUUCGUAGAUAUUCGCAAGAACACCAGUGGCGAAGGCGGCUCACUGGACCACAACUGACGCUGAUGCACGAAAGCUAGGGGAGCAAACAGG
rnacentral:rRNA from 1 species